GACGAACGCUGGCGGCGUGCUUAACACAUGCAAGUCGAACGGAGUGGCGAACGGGUGAGUAACACGUGGGUGACCUGCUCUGCACUUCGGGAUAAGCCUGGGAAACUGGGUCUAAUACCGGAUAGCGCGGGCUGGGCCCGCGGCCUAUCAGAUGAUUGGUGGGGUAAUGGCCUACCAAGGCGGCGCCGGGUAGCCGGCCUGAUAUGGUGGACGGCCACAGUGGGACUGAGACACGGACCAGACGCCUACUGGAGACAGCAGGGGGGAAUAUUGCGCAAUGGGCGGAAGCCUGAAGCAGCGACGCCGCGUGGGGGAUGACGGCCUUCGGGUUGUAAACUCCUUUCACCAUCGACGCGGUAGAUGGAGAAGAAGCACCGGCUAACUACGUGCCAGCAGCCGCGGUAAUAC
rnacentral:rRNA from 1 species